rnacentral:rRNA from 1 species
GACGUAGGGCGCAAGCGUUGUCCGGAUUUAUUGGGCGUAAAGAGCUCGUAGGCGGCUUGUUGCGUCUGCUGUGAAAUCCCGGGGCUUAACCCCGGGCGUGCAGUGGAUACGGGCAGGCUGGAGGCAGGCAGGGGAGAAUGGAAUUCCCGGUGUAGCGGUGAAAUGCGCAGAUAUCGGGAGGAACACCGGUGGCGAAGGCGGUUCUCUGGGCCUGUUCUGACGCUGAGGAGCGAAAGCGUGGGGAGCGAACAGG